ensembl:lncRNA
AUGCUACUUCUCUCUCUCUCUCUCUCUCUCUCUCUCUCUCUCUCUCUCUCUCUCUCUCUCUCUCUCUCUCUCUCUCUCUCUCUCUCUCCCUCUCCAUCUCUCUCUCUCUCUCUCUCUCUCUCUCUCUCUCUCUCUCUCUCUCUCUCUCUCUCUGACUCUCCAUCUCUCUUUUGCUCUCUCUCUCUCUCAUUCUAGACAUUUCUAUAUCUCAAUGGUAUGAAUGAAAAUGCAUGAUAUUUUCCUGAUGCAAUCUCAGUCAUCCAGAGUGAGCAGCAUUAGAAUGUAUAUUCAGAGCACUGAAUAAGUACAUAUGAAGGUAGACACACUCCUCAGCCUUACUUGGUAUGAAUCAAUUUGUCAUUCUUAGUCAGUAAAUCCUUUAUUGUUAAAGCUUGCUUAAGGUAUUUUCACAGAUGACAAGGUCUCUCCCUCCCUUAACUUCUGAUGAUAUUUUUGUUUAGUGAUUUUUGUCAUUUCUGACUCUUUGUGACCUAGCAGCCCACGAUGGCAAGUAUCACCCAGAUCAGAUGUUUUCACAAUCCCCAACACACUCAACCAAUUGCUCUCAACCAUUCUUCAGAGUAACCCAGAGAAGAACCAGGUGCUAGAAAAAGACCUCACUUUGCCUAAUUAAUUGUGAGGGAGCAUUCUGUACCUCUUCUCCCGUCUCAGCUUCCCAUUCUGUUCAAACACAUUUAGCAAAUAUUUGAACUAUUUAUUUGUGAAAAGAACUAUAAUAGGCCUUGGUAAUGCAAAAAGAAUGAGGAAAUCCCUGUCUUCGAGGAACUUAUAGUCUAAUAGAGAGCUAAGAUUGGAAGUAAAAGGUAAAAUUUGAUAACCAGUAUUUAUAAGGCAGCUAGUUGGUAUAGUGCAUAGUGUUUUGAGACUGGAGUCAGCUUUUCAGUUUUCUUUUUUCCUCCUCCCUCCCUCCUUCCCAUCCCUUCUCUUUCUCUUCCUUCCUUCCUUCCUUCCUUCCUUCCUUCCUUCCUUCCUUCCUUCCUUCCUUCCUUCCUUCCUUCCUUCCUUCCUUCCUUCCUUCCUUCCUUCCUUCCUUCCUUCCAUAUUAAUUCCAUUAUAUCAAACUCUCUUCUCUCUACUCUCCCUUUUCCUGGACUAUCCUUGCUUUUAUCUCCUUAGUCAUGAAUCUUUAGAGUAAGAAAGAAGCAUUCUCUUUUUUCAUUAAUUAGUUGAUUUUAUAUAAUACACAAUAACAAUGUUGAAUUGAACACCUAUGGAAUGUGAAACAUUAUACUGGAUGUUAAGAGAUGUGUGUGUGUGUGUGUGUGUGUGUGUGUGAGUGAGUGUGUGUAGCUGAUUAAGGCAGAGUGGUCUCCAACCUCAAGGAGCUUACAGUCUAGUAAGAGAGAUAAGACUUAUACCCAUAUUACCAAAUACAAUGCAGAAUGUGGCAUAGAGAGGUUUAAAGGUAUAAAGAGCUAUGGGGGAAUAGAAGAACAGAUUACUUCCAAUUGAGGACUCAUAGAAGGCUUCAUGAAGGAGGUUACAAUUGACCUAGGCCUGGAAGGGUUUUAUAGAAUUUCCCCAUAUGGACAUAAAGGGGCAGAGGAGGAAUUUUAGGAUCGAGGAAAUCAAUGAACAAAGUUAUUACGUGCCUCCAAUAUUCUAGGCAUUUAAUGUGAUAGACAAUAGAGAUACAAAUGCAAAUGUGAAAGACCCUUCUCUCUUCAGGAAGGGAACUAGUAUUCUACUGGGGGAUACAAUAUAUUCCUGGAUAAGUAAAUACACUGUAUAUACAGAAUAAGUAUACAAUUUGGUAUCAGGGGACACCAGAUAAAAACAGAUGGAGAAUAGAAAAAUAAAGAGGGGACUUAAGGAACCA